GGACCUGUAGCCUAAUGGUUAGAGCGUCCGCCUCGGAUGCGAGAGGUCUUGGGUUUGAUUCCCGUUCGAGUCAUACCA